ACAAUUUGGCUAUAAUAUUAGCAGAAAUUCUCAUCUUUAAGGGAAACUAUCAACAAGCUCAUAAAUGUCUCGAGGAUCAUCAACUCCCAUCAGAUGCUCGAUAUGCUCUUUACAAGGCUAUUGUAUGUACCAUGUUGGAUAAGAUGGACGAGGCAGAGAAGUGGUGGGAAAGUUUCACUGAAGGAAGAUCUGAUUCUGUUAUACCUAAUCACCCGGAACACCAAGGCUAGGGGCACCCCCUGGAUUUUUAAAUAUUAUACCUAUAAAUAAAAUUUUUAAACUGAAAUUAAAAUUAAUUAUAUUUGGCCUCCUAAAAAUUAAAAAUUUGUUACAAAAGCCAAUAAACAUUGUGGGCAUCUCGUUCUAGUGA